CCUGCCUUGUUUUAUAAGUUUGGAGAGAUCUGGAAAAGGUAAGGAAGCACUGAAAACAUAUUGUAAACUUCAGAUAGCCUAAAACUCUCAAAAAUUACUAUUCCAUUGAAUUUAUAGAGUGAUCUUGAAGCUUUAUAUUCUGAAAUUCAAUGUCCAGCUUGAAUAAGGCUAAAAAUAGUUUGAAUAGUCCUGUUAAUUCACUACUAAAGGUUUUAGAGACUCUUGGAGUAUUUUGAAUUCUCACUUGUGUCAUUCAAGCUGAAUUCUGUGUUUGCUGCUGUGUUAUUUGAGUAAAAUUAUUCUCUAGGUCAUUUGAUAGCAUUUUCUGGGUGGAAUUGAUUCUAAUUUCCUGUUAAUUGUUGUUGGCUACUGUUUACUACUGCUGACUUCUUCCUUAUUCCUAUUUUUAUUUGAAUUCCAGGUAUAUUUUUUUGCCUCUAGUGAUAUGUAAAGAUGAGAUCAGCAUAUUUGAAGAAAAUUUAGGAAUCCUUACCUGUUUUGUUUUCUCCUCCAUGAGUUCCCUGCUAUUUUAUCUUAGUCUAGAGGUUUAGCAUAACUGUGCAGUUGAAUAUUGCAUUAUUUGUAUUAACAGUACUGUUAAACUAUGCUCAGAAUGACACAAGUAUCAUGUUAACUUUUGUGUAGUGAAUCCUAGAUUACCUACCCUGUCACCUUGAAUUUUGAGUUUUUG
rnacentral:lncRNA from 1 species